GACGAACGCUGGCGGCGUGCUUAACACAUGCAAGUCGAACGGGAUUUCGUAGACAGAAGCCUCGGCUCAAGAUUACUACUGGGAGUGGAGAACGGGUGAGCAACGCGUGAGCAAUCUGCCUAUGUCAGUGGGAUAGCCUCGGGACCCCGGGAUUAAUACUGCAUAAAAUCGUGGAUACAAAAGUUUUAACGGUUAGGGAUGUACUGGCAUCGAAUGGGCUCGUGUCUGAUGUGCUGGUUGGUGAGAUAACAGCCCACCAAGGCGACGUUCAGUAGCAGGUCUGAUAAGAUGAACGGCCACAAUGGAACUGAGACACAGUCCAAACUCCGACGGAAGGGAGCAGUAUGUAAUAUAGCGCAAGGAAGCAAACCCUGAUGCAGCGACGCCGCGGAAACGAAGAAUGUAGUCGUAAAGUAAAGUCCUGUCCUAUGAGGAGAUAAUGACGGUACCAUAUAAGAAAGCACCGGCUAAAUACGUG
rnacentral:rRNA from 1 species